rnacentral:rRNA from 1 species
UACGUAGGGGGCGAGCGUUGUCCGAAGUUACUGGGCGUAAAGCGCGCGUAGGCGGUCAUUUAAGUCUGAGGUGAAAGGUUCAGCGCUCAACGUGAACAGUGCCUUGGAUACUGGGUGACUUGAGUUCGGGAGGGGGCAGUGGAAUUCCAGGUGUAGCGGUGAAAUGCGCAGAUAUCAGGAGGAACACCAGCGGCGAAGGCGGCGCUCUGGGCCGGAACUGACGCUGAGGAGCGAAAGCGUGGGUAGCAAACAGG